CGCCUGGCUACUCAUCCCCGUAACGCCUGCCCUGGGGGCAUCGUCCCCUGGGUGGGGGCUCCUGCAAGGCCGCCGUGAGAUAGAAGAGCCUGGCUCCCCACUCCCCCGCCUGCCCCACCGUGGGUUCCGGCUCCCACGGGGCUCCGGGGUCUCCGUCGGUCUGGGAUCCCCGCACGGCACUCUCCGGCUCCAUCCUCUGUGCCGUCCCUGCCUUCCGGUACGAGCCCUCGGGGUGCUCACAGCUGCCCCCAACCCCGUCACGCAAAGACACAAGCUGACGGCUGGAGCCCGCGUGGGAGGAGGGGUAAGCCCACAGGGGCCUGGGUUCGAGUCCCGGCUCUCCCACAGACGGGCUGGGAGGCUGUGGACACCUUUCUGAAGAGCUGGAGCCUCAGAGGAGGAGGAGGGCGGCGCUGGGCCUGCCCCGGUGCUGGUUUUGAGGCUGUAACUACAAUACACGGGCACCGCGUGGAGGCCUGGCUGGCACCCCGGGGACAUGGGACUAAAUCCACGGUGCUUUCCCCGGGCCGUCUCCGGCGACACCCUUGCUCCGUUGGCUCCCGGGGCUGCUUCAGGAAAUCAGCACGAAUCCGGAGGCUCAACGCAGCAGAAACGGAUUCCCUCGGCAUCUGAAGGCCAGACGUCCGAGUUGGGGGGCGGGGGGGAGCGCUCCCAGGGAGGCUGAAGGGGAGGGCCGGCCUCGCUUCUGUGGCUCCUCAUGUUCCUUGGCCCGAGGCUGCACCCUCCAGCCUGUACCGGGGUCUCACGUGCCCCCCUUCUCUCUCUCCCUGCGCAGCUCCUCCAAGGACGCCGCUUGUUGGAUGGGAAGCCCACGUGGACGAGCGGAGAGGGGCACGUCCUGAGGCCCCGCACGGCCCCUUUCCGAAGUGAAGUCACAUGGAUGAACUCCAGGGAUUAGGACGUGCACGCAUGUUUUUGGGGAUCCCCUUCCACCUGCCACAAUCCACUCGGUCCUUCAGGGCCUGCCCUCACACUAAGACUCCAGAACGAGCCUCCGUGGCCCCCUCUCCGCAAGGUCACCCGUCCAACCUCCUUGGCCCUCAGCAGCUUUGGGGGUUCGCCCUCCUGCCGGAGGAGCUUCCCCCACGCCCUCCACGGUGUCAGGCUUGCCAGCCUCUCCGCCGGCCUCCUCUGUGGCCCCUCGUCUCCUCCUCCGUGGCCUGA
rnacentral:lncRNA from 12 species